GUGGUCAAGCUAAUAAGGGCUCAUGGUGGAUACCUAGGCACACAGAGGCGAAGAAGGACGUGGUUACCUGCGAAAAGUUCCGGGGAGUUGGAAGCAAACAGAGAGCCGGAAAUAUCCGAAUGGGGCAACCCUGAACACUGCCUGUUGAAUAUAUAGACAGGAAAGAGCGAACCUGGCGAAUUGAAACAUCUUAGUAGCCAGAGGAAAAGAAAUCAAAAGAGAUUCCCCGAGUAGUGGUGAGCGAAAGGGGAAGAGCCUAAACCAAGGGGUAUACCUCUUGGGGUAGUGGGACAGCAACAUCGAAUCCAGAGACUAGACGAAGCAGCUAAAUACUGCACCAGAGGGGGUGAAAGUCCUGUAGUCGAAAGUCAAAGGAUAGAAGCUGAAUCCCGAGUAGUACGGGGCACGAGAAAUCCCGUAUGAAUCAGCGAGGACCAUCUCGUAAGGCUAAAUACUACUGUGUGACCGAUAGAGAACAAGUACCGCGAGGGAAAGGUGAAAAGAACCCCGGGAG
rnacentral:rRNA from 1 species